rnacentral:rRNA from 1 species
UACGAAGGGGGCUAGCGUUGCUCGGAAUCACUGGGCGUAAAGCGCACGUAGGCGGGUUCUUAAGUCGGAGGUGAAAUCCUGGAGCUCAACUCCAGAACUGCCUUCGAUACUGGGAAUCUAGAGUUCGGGAGAGGUGAGUGGAACUGCGAGUGUAGAGGUGAAAUUCGUAGAUAUUCGCAAGAACACCAGUGGCGAAGGCGGCUCACUGGCCCGAUACUGACGCUGAGGUGCGAAAGCGUGGGGAGCAAACAGG